UUAGGGGAAACAUUGAAAUUAUGUAAUAUGUAGUAGGGCUGAUAUUAUCCAUUGUUCUGUAAUGCCAGGCCCCAGUGACCAGACAUAUACUUAAUCUUGGUGACCUUUAGGUUUUGUCUGCAUUGUAAACUUGAUCAAGUUUACCUACUGAAAUGUGCUGUGCAAGUGGCAUAUGCGUCAGUUUGCUGAAAGCUGUAUGUGGAACAGUGUCGUGGAAGUAGCCAUUGAAGAGGGUGCCAGUCCUUCAAGGAAAGAGAUACCUUUCAGAUGUGAUAUUUGCAACAAAGGUUUUUCAUGUAGUGACAAUCUUGGUGAACACUGGUGCUCUGUCUCUAAAGACAGUCGUUUUAUAUGUGGAAUUUGUGGAAAGAGGUUUACAAGGAGUGGUGAUCUUAUUAGGCAUAAAAGAACACACAAGCCUUUCAAAUGUGAGUUUUGUGGAAAAGCAUUCUUACAGACUUGGUAUCUCGUGGCUCAUAAUAGAACACAUACAGGUGAGCACCCUUUCAAAUGUGAUCUUUGUGAUAAGAGAUUUACGAAAAAGGAAAGUCUUGUAAGACAUCAAAUAAUGCACAUGGGUGAAAAACCUUAUGCUUGUGAUACUUGUGGUAAAGAAUUUUCUUUUAAAUUAAGUCUUGUGAUACAUCAAUGAACACACACUGGUGAAAAGCCUUACUUAUGUAACAUUUGUGGCAAGGCGCUUUCUCAGAAAGGAAGUCUUGUUGGGCAUGGAAGGACACACACUGGUGAAAAGCCUUUCAAAUGCGAUAUUUGUGGGACAGGAUUCUCAGAGAGAGGAAGUCUUGUGAUACAUCAUAGAACACAUUUUGCAGAAAAACCAUUAAAAUGUGACGUUUGUGGGAAAGGAUUCUCUUCAAGAAGAGAAAUAGUGAGACACGUAAGGACACAUACCGGUGAAAAGCCCUUCGUUUGUGACUUUUGUGGGAGAGGAUUCUUAGAGAAGUCAAGGCUUGGAAGACAUCAAAGAAAUAAGAAACACUUUGGAAGGUAAUGUCAGAACAUGUAUUUAUAAAAAGUUUUUUGUCCCAUGAUGGUAUAGAAAAGGUUACUGUUGUUGUACAUGCAAUGAUCAAACUGGUGAAUCUGACAUUCAUAGUUAAGUGUACUUACCUGCAAUGUUAAAUGUGAUACAGCAUACAUUAUUAACUCUCAGUGACAAGCAUUAUUGAAACCACUAUUUCAGAGUGCCAAGCUAUUUUGUGUUAAAAUAGUUCAACAGAAAUAAAUCAUAAAAAAUGUAAAUUUUUUAAGUUAAAACUAUUCUUCUGUUUUUUCAAAUAAUAAAGAAAAGUUCCAUCUUU